rnacentral:rRNA from 1 species
UGAGUAAUACGUAUCCAACCUGCCGUCUACUCUUGGACAGCCUUCUGAAAGGAAGAUUAAUACAAGAUGGCAUCAUGAGUCCGCAUGUUCACAUGAUUAAAGGUAUUCCGGUAGACGAUGGGGAUGCGUUCCAUUAGAUAGUAGGCGGGGUAACGGCCCGCCUAGUCUUCGAUGGAUAGGGGUUCUGAGAGGAGGGUCCCCCACAUUGGAACUGAGACACGGUCCAA